rnacentral:rRNA from 1 species
AUGAAGAUUGAUCCGUCAGCGGUGGAGAGCUUCGACAGUGGCAGGGUCUGCAUCAUGGCCAGAGCUUAUACCGUAGCGGUUGUCGACAACGGGGCCCACAUGUAUGCCUUCAACAACGGCAGUACCAUGGUCAGAGCACAUAAACAGGGGGAAAAUAACUGCUCAUUUCCUUGA